rnacentral:lncRNA from 1 species
GAAACAUGGAAAGAGCUGGAUGCCGAAUUUGAUCGCUGCGUUGUGGAUGUGAAGCCCCACGUCCUAAAGCUGCAGCAUAGAACGCCAAAGGUGUGCACUGUGGGUUAAAAAACUGUGUGAGCCCUCAGGAGCGGGUACAGGGAUAGCGGGAAGGAGGAAUCGGAACUCAUAUGCAAAGCUUUUGCUCCACAUGCUGAAACGAGGAGUGCUCGAAGAUCCUUUUACACAUGAACCAGAACCAGGAAUGCUGAAAACAUUACCUUCAUACAUGUUAAUUUAUUUUGAUGAACCAAAUUCAACAAGAAUUCAAAGUAGUAGCCCAGACUACUUACCUGACUGGGUGAUGGGAGAGUUAGGAAAAGGUGAAUCCAGG